CGUGGCGGGCGGAGGGCCCGAAGGCUGGCUGUCGAACGGCGGACCGCAAGACAGAAGCCGCGGUGCGUGUGCAGGGAAAGCGUGAGCCCGAACACACACCUAACACCACAGCGGCGGCCGAAUCCAGCCACACAAUGAACCCACUGGCUGCUCUUAAAGAAAAACCCAAAUAGCAGCUACUGCAGAAGAGGAAACAGUCUCAUGUCAUGAUAUGAAGGGAGGGUUGGACCAUCAGCAUUCUGUGGAGUCUUGCUGAUGUAUGGAAAAGCCAACGCCCAUCUAUUGAUAUUUUGGAAGAGCAACUCAAAGGAGAAAUGAUGUAUGUAUAGUAUGGGAGCUCAUUUCUUUAGACACCUACAAUUGUGGCGAAUAAAGAUCACUCCACUGCUAAUUCUAAAUUGUGGAGGUAACUGCAGGGGUCUGUCAGCAUGAGAGGGAGGGUUUCCUCAAUCUGAUCCAGAAGAAAGUUAAUAACUUCAAAUCCAUAACUACCUAGAUUAUUACGACUGGUCUAGAAUGCACAAUUGUAGUUUUUUUCAAUCCAAUGGAUAUUCUUACAUAUGUUAGCUUGAAACCAAAAGAAUUUCCCAAGCAUGUGAUUGGAAGGAGGUGUAAACUGGAUUCUGAUAGGUUUUGCUGUCUUAUAUCUGAAAACUUUAGCAUUCCAGAAACUCAUCUUGAAUGGAUUUUGGGAGAAAAUGGCAACUCAAGUAUGUUUACAUGGAGUGGAGUGAAUGCAGCAGGGGUCACUCCAGAAAUGGAAUUCAGAAAUGGAAAUUGUCAGGGCUGACAGUUUGAAAGAAAUGUGAACCAUAUGAUUGAAAGAGCAUUUGAGGUGAUCAAACUAAAAGUGUCUUCCAACUGGGCUACUGAAUCAAAUGUUGCUAAGCCAAUUCAAACCCUUUUUGAAAGACGUCUGCUCAGGAUUGAUCUUCACAGGAUUUCCCAAUCUCAGCAAUGCUGACAUUUAGGGCCAGAUAAUUCUCUGUUGUGGGGGCAUCCUGUGCAUGUAGGAUGUUUAGCAAUGUCCCUGGCUGGCAUCUACCUACUCGUUUUCAGUAGCUCUUCCCCUCUCCUAGUGUGACAACCAAAAUGUCUUCAGAUGUUGAGAAAUGUCUGCCAAGGCACAUAAUUGCCCCUUGAUGUGUUGUUUCUGACAGUGAGGGCUUUCUUUGUGUUCUAAGUGUUCAAAGAUUAACCAGAGUCUUCAACCAGAGUAGAAGGAUAAUGUAGUUUUACCACUCAAAAGAGUGGGGAUAGAUGAAACAACUUAAGAAAACAGCUGGUACUGUCUGAACAAUAUGAUGAGUAAAUGUGGUUAUGGAGCCACCAGAAUUCUCAUACAUCAUCAGUGAGAGUGUAAAUAGGUGCAGUCACUUUGGAAAAAGGUAUGGUAGUGUCUCCAAGAGCUAUCUACUGGAGAUGAAAGCUAGUAUCUGCUCCUAUGACCUCGCAAUUCCAUAAGGACGUGCGUACAUAUGCUCCCCGUAAGGAAUGUUCUGGAAAUUCAUAGUGUUAUGUGUAGUGGCCCUCAAACUGGGAACCACUUAGAUGCAUAUCAACGAGAGAGUGGACAAUUUAAUUGUGGUUUAUUCAUACUGCACAUUACUAUACAGCAAUGAAAAUGAUCUACAAUAAUACACAGCAAAAUCAAUGGAUCUCACAAUGUUGUAACCAUCUAAGCAAGACAGAGAAAUCCAUACUGUAUGAUUACCUGUGUGUAAAACUGACAAACAACUAAUCUAUGGUGUUAGAAGUCACUUUUGGGAGGGGUGGUGACCAGAAGGGGGCUUCUGGGGUUCUGGUCAUGUUUUGUGUCUUGAGCUUAGUGCUGGUUAUGCAUGUGUGCUGUGUGAGAAUUCACUGAACUGUACAUUUAUGAUUUAGGCAUUUGCUGUAUAUAUGUUGUAUUUCAAUGGGAAAUUUAAAAAAAAAUUCUCAAAAAAAGUAUAACCUACUUGACCUAGAUAGAGUCCUCUGGGUCACGCUGGGGACUAAAGCUGUACUGAGACUUGAUUAAUAGUCUUUGCUCAUAAAUGUCAGUUUGUUUGAAUCAGU